UACGGGGGGAGCAAGCGUUGUUCGGAUUUACUGGGCGUAAAGGGCGCGUAGGCGGUCAGCACAAGUCAGUUGUGAAAUCUCCGAGCUUAACUCGGAAAGGUCAACUGAUACUGUGCGACUAGAGUGCGGAAGGGGCAACUGGAAUUCUUGGUGUAGCGGUGAAAUGCGUAGAUAUCAGGAGGAACACCGGUGGCGAAGGCGGGUCUCUGGGCAACAACUGACGCUGAGGAGCGAAAGCGUGGGGAGCGAACAGG
rnacentral:rRNA from 1 species